rnacentral:lncRNA from 1 species
AGAAUUUGAACAGGUCUAAAUCAAAUCACCUAUGAUUCAUAACUUGGUAAAAUAUGCAUUUCCGGUAAACAUGCUAUGCACUUCUUUGUCUUAUGUAAUUUUGUUGGUACAUAGGCAUAUUCCAUUAUAACAGAUUUUUUAUUUUCAGACUACUAUGAUGCUUAUGAUAGUUCAUAUUGGUGAACUCCGUAGUUCCAAAGAUUAACCCC